rnacentral:rRNA from 1 species
CACGGGGGGAGCAAGCGUUGUUCGGAAUCACUGGGCGUAAAGGGCGUGUAGGCGGUCUGGUAAGUGGGACGUGAAAGCCCCCGGCUCACCCGGGGAUCUGCAUUCCAUACUGCCAGACUUGAGUAUGGGAGAGGACAGGGGAAUUCCUGGUGUAGCGGUGAAAUGCGUAGAUAUCAGGAGGAACACCGGUGGCGAAGGCGCCUGUCUGGCCCAAUACUGACGCUGAGGCGCGAAAGCUAGGGGAGCAAACGGG